UCAAUGUGGAUUUUAUGUUUUUCUCUUAUCACAAAAGAUAGCAAAGAAAUUCUGACUUAGAGAUUCAUAUGCGGUGCCAGGGCACCAGGUAACAUGGAAACUCAAGAGGGUCAUGGCUAACAUGACCCCAUUAUGACCCAUCAAGCCUUGGUAUUGUGAAUACAACUGGUCACUCAGGAGCAGAUCCCAGCCCUCAGAGCCUCCCCACUCAAGGUCACUCAGCUGUCCCUCAAGGUCACCCAGCUGUUCCUCAAGGCACCAAGCUGGCCCUGGUACCAGCCCCUGCUGCUCCCUGUGCCAGGAUCACCACUCCUCCACAUGUCGAGGGGGCGUGGCUCUCAUUUCCUUCUAAUGUCAAACAGGAAGAAAGCAGGGCUGGAGAUGAGAGCUUGAGAGUCACCAGAAAAAUACGAGCAGGGAGAAAGAGGAGGCAGCAACCCAGUGGUGCCCCUGAGAAGCCAGGGAACCAGGACUGAGACCCUGGAGAAGCCAAAGGAAGAGAGCGGCUAGAGAAGAACAGGGGAUCCAGGGGAGUGGCAGCUUGAACUCAUGUGAAAGCACCAAUGAGCCAACAGGGAGAAGAGGAGAGGAGCCCGCCACAAGGACAUUUUGGGAACUAGAAACCAGGUGGAUGAGAGCCUGUGCCCCAUUCAGUUCUCAGGAUCCUGGCCGACAUCCAGAAAGGAAACCGGAAACCAGUGAAGUUUCCAGCCACAGGCUCAGACAGCUGACGCCCACGCCCAGUUUCUGCAUUCGGAGCAUCCAAGCAGCCGAGCAUGUGCGCUCUGAAGCACGGGCAUGGCCACCCCACGCAUCUACCACAAAAGGCACAGCCAAGGCAGCUGGAGGAAACCGGGACUCUGCAAAGACAAGACAGCUUUUAAAAAUUACCAUGAACAUCCGUACAGAAAUAAGAGGAGCAGUGUUAUCCAUGAAAUGGUAACAGGGUACUCUAAGAUGAAUAUCCAGAGAAUAGAACGUACACUUCGGAAAAUCGUGAUGAUAAAACCGAGACACAAAAUAGAAGGAAUGGGUGAUAAAGUUGAGAAUCCCCCAAGAAGUACAAGGAAAAAAAUGCAAAGAAAUGGAAAAUAUGAAGAAAAAGACAGGAGCUGGGCAUGGUGGCACACACCUUGUAGUGUCAGCUACUUAGGAGGCUGAGGCAGCAGGAUCACAAAUUCCAGCCCAGCCUGUACAACUUACUGAGA